rnacentral:lncRNA from 1 species
GUAAUUCCAUUAGAAGUUGAUAUAAUGUUCCUAAUGAGUCUGCUAUUAUUGAAACACCUUCAGGAAAUCUUCAUUUUUCAUGUUUAGCACAAUAUUGAGAGAUUCAAGAAGAGAUGAGGAGUAUCUUCAUUUCUUCCUGAAUCUCUUCAACUGUGCCAAAUUUCCAGUGUUUGAACUUCAGUUUCAUUCUGCAGAAGAUGAAAAUGUCACAAAUGACCAAAUCAGGAGAAUGGGAAAGGUGAGGAAUAGUAACUGUAUUGCUUGGGUCAAAAACUGUUGUACUUUGAUGGAUGUGGCAUUUCCAUGAUGGAUCAUCCAUUUUCCAAUAGGUCAGAGAUUUUGAGUGCUUGAGGCACAUAGUUCUUGCAGCAAUAACUAGCUAUCCAAAAUGCUUCGCUGACAGUCUUUAUGAAUUAAUACACAAACUUUCUCAACAUUUUUGAGAGUUACGCUUGUCAAAAAGCAUCCUAUCCAUCAUUGUCUUCAAGUAUUUCUUAGAUGCAUUUGAAAACAUUCAUGUCACUCACAG